rnacentral:piRNA from 1 species
GGGAUAGAUCGUAGGAUAGCGUAGGCGAA